AAUCUUUCUCUCCUCUCUUCCAUUUGAGGACAUGACAUUUAUCCCCUCCAGAAAAUGCAACAAGGUGCAUCUUGGAAGCAGAGUGCAGCACUCACCGGACAGGAAAUCUGCUGAUGCCUUCAUCUUGGACUUCCCAGUCUCCAGAACUAUAAAGAAUGCAUUUCUUUUCUUAUAAAUUACCCAGUCUAUGAUAUUCCAUUAUAGUAGCACAAACGGACUAGGACAACACAUAAAUAACUCAAGCCAAUUUCUCACUUACAUUUGUUAAAAUAGUAAUGUACAAAUCCCGGAAACAGUCAACAACAAAAUCCCAUUUCACAACUCCCUCAUCCCUAAUACACAAUUUCUAACCUAUUCUGAAAUUGAGAAGUCUUAUACUUUGCAAAUGGCAUGGCAACUUUAUGUCCAUUUAAAAUUGUCUAAAUAUUUAGUACAUUUCUAGAGUCUAGAGCACACAGCUCAGGGCCCUGGUAACAUGCAGGCAAUCAGACUAUAAAUUUAUUUCUCUUCUUGAACAUCCUGCCCUGUUCAUCUUCAGUAAUCAAAUGGGCUUCAAUUUGUUCUUUACUAUGCUUUCACCUCUUCAUGCUCACUUCCAAGUCAACUCUACUCCUUCUCUAUUUUGCCCAAUACACUUUCUAGUUACAUAAUCAGAUGACUCUAGAAAAGCUGCCCAAGGCUGACCAUUCUCUAUGUGAAUUUUCCAACUACAUUGAAAGACCAAACUCAGUAUCCCCAACAUUGUCCUAACUUAAAGGUAUACUUGUAGUGGCACCAUAUAAACCAGGCAAACUAUUUAAAAAUGUAUCUGGAAGUAUUUGGCAUUUCCUGGUUAUAAUUUAAAGGAUGUAAUUUUGGCAUAGGAUUUCUGAAUAAUUGUUAUUAGACAGAGUUAUUUGUAUUUUCCACUACCAUUUUUAGAAAGGGAAUUUCACUUUGGAUAGCGGGUUAGUGUGUGUGUGUGUAUGUGCCCAUGUGCAGGUGAGGAGGGAACAAACUACUUGAUUCUUCCAUAAGUUAUUAAGUGACCCUUUUUUGGGCCUGAUUGUCAAAUGAAAUUUUCUGCACAAUACUUGGAAAGCAUUUGCAGGUUUCUGCGUGAGGUGAAGAAAAAAGAACAUGAAAAUAUUGUGGAUUCAUGAGCUACAAGAAGAAUCAUGAAACUUUUGAAAAGUUAUCAGCCUCAUAGCUUGAGUGUGAAUGAAUUAGUUUUCACAGAAAUCAAUGAAUGGGCUGGAUUUUACAGCCAAGACAUAAUGGAGACAAAAAAGAGCAGGCAGUGAUUUACAGAAAUUUUGAAUCCUUCUUCUGGAGUGCUAUACAUUCAUAAGAUUAUGAUUUGGAUUAAGUUUAAUCUGAUACCUAAAUGUCCAAGCGCAUAGUUUACAUUUGAUUUAUACAGUAGUACAGUAAUGUUAACAAAACUGAAUUUUUGUAACAAAUUAUAUAUACUUGAGAUAGAGAAAAAACUGUUGACUCCUUUUAUCAUUAAGUUAAAAAAAUAAUAUGGCAGCAUAUCACUUGUAUGAACUUCUGAAUGAAGACAAUAUCUUGAUGUACAAAUUCUGUUUUUCAACCAAAGGAUCAUACUUAAGCAUAUUUAAAUAUGAUGCUCAGUAAAAAGAUCUUACAACAUUAUAAUUUGUAAUGUUUGAAAUGGACAUGAAAGUAGAAUGCAACAUUUGUAUCUACAUGAGUAACUAUCAUUUAUCUAUCUAAAAUUUAUUAAACAUUUGCGAAUGAGAGCAUGACAUUGGAGUCACACUGCUUUGGGUUUGAAAUCUGGAUCCCAUAUGUGUCAGGUAAAAACCUUGAAAAAGUUACUUAACCUGUCUGUUUAUCAGUUUCUUUAUAAGACACAGAUCAUAAUAAUAUGUACAUCAGAGGAUCAUGGUGAUUAUAAAAUAAAUUAACAUAAAUGAGUUAAUAAGGCCUAGGAUUUUAGAAGUGUAGUAUAAACAAAGUACCUAGUAUGCUACUUACAGUGAUUAUCAUUAUCUCUUAUAACUUUAAGUUAAAUUGGCCUUCUUGGUAAAUUUCAAACACAAUUAUAUCUGGGUCCACAUCAGGAAAUUUGAACAUACAGUUCAUCUGUUUGGAGCUCACUUCCCUCAUUUGUUUUCAUAGCUUCCUACCUCAGUGCAUUCAGGUUUCUUUUUCAAAACAUAUAAACAGAGAUGCCUUGUUAAACUACCCAAUCUAAAAUUGUCUUUUUUUAUUUAUUAUUUUUCUUCAUCUAUGUCACCAUUUGCUAUUGUUACUAAAUUUAUUUCUAGUUUACCGCCCACUAACAUAGAAGUUCCAUGAAAAGAGAGACGUGCCUAGUUGCCCCCAUUAUCUCAGUGUAAACAUUUUUUUUCCCUGAAACUGAAACAAUAAUCUUCCUUUUGUGGAGAUGCUGUUAAAGGGUACAUAGGGUAAUUCAUACUAAUAGGUUCUCUCAUUCUUGCAAACUGUUGUGGAAUAAUCAAUUUAAGGGCAACAACUGAGCUCUUCAUAAAUUGAGGAAAAUUGCCAUGCAUGAAGGUGUUUUUCCUAACCCCCACCUCUGAUUCUACAUAUUCUUUAAACAUAUCUCUCAAAAAUUUGGAGUUAACAUUGUAAAUAAUAUUUAUGUAUUUCUUUGGGUUUUGAAAUUUACUUAUGGAUCAUGUAGACCACUUAAAAAUAUUUUUAAAAAUCUUUAAAGCUAAAGUUGAACAUUUGUGACAACUAGGAAUAUUUGGAUACUUUGUGUUUCUCUCCCUCUUUUUAUGUCUCUCUAUCUCUCUCUGAUAAAAGUAUGUUUGUGGAUAAUUUAUUUUAAAACUAGACUUUUGGUUAUGCCAGAUUAAUAGUUCCAGAGAUCUCUUAUAAAGCACAUUUCUUGUAGUUAACAAUAUGGUGUUGUGCACUUCAAAAUUUGUUAAAUAAUAGAUUUCAUGUUAAGUAUUCUAAAAACACACACACAUACACACUCGGACACAAGGCAACUUUGGUUGAUAUUGAACACAUCCAUUACCUUGAUUGUGGUGAUGAUGGUAUUACGGGUGUUUGCAUAUGUCCAAACUCAUUAAAUUGUACACAUUGAACAUGUGAA
rnacentral:lncRNA from 1 species